rnacentral:rRNA from 1 species
UACAGAGGUCUCAAGCGUUGUUCGGAUUCAUUGGGCGUAAAGGGGUGCGUAGGUGGCGCGCUAAGUCAGGUAUGAAAUUUCGGAGCUUAACUCCGAAACUGCAUUUGAUACUGGCGUGCUUGAGGACUGGAGAGGAGACUGGAAUUCACGGUGUAGCAGUGAAAUGCGUAGAGAUCGUGAGGAAGACCAGUGGCGAAGGCGGGGUCUCUGGACAGUUCCUGACACUGAGGCACGAAGGCCAGGGGGAGCAAACGGG